CCAAGGAGUCUAACACGUGCGCAAGUUGUAGGGUUUUCCACAAAGCCCGAAGGCGCAAUGAAAGUGAACCCUAGGCGGGAUCCCGUCACCCCUAUCCAGUCCUCAUCGGUUAUCAUUACCGGCUGUGGCAUUUAAAAAGGGGUCGGGCGCACCGCCGGCCCGUCUCGUUCGGUCGGUCGUCGGCAUCUCCAGGGGCGUUGUCGGUCGACGGAGGCGGAGCGAGAGCGUAUACGUUAGGACCCGAAAGACGGUGAACUAUUCCCGGACAGGACGAAGCCGGAGGAAACUCCGGUGGAGGUCCGCAGCGAUUCUGACGUGCAAAUCGAUCGUCGGAUCCGGGUAUAGGGGCGAAA
rnacentral:rRNA from 1 species